rnacentral:rRNA from 1 species
UCCGUAGGGGGCGAGCGUUGUCCGGAUUUAUUGGGCGUAAAGAGCUCGUAGGCGGCUUGGCAAGUCGGGUGUGAAACCUCCAGGCUCAACCUGGAGACGCCACUCGAUACUGCCAUGGCUAGAGUCCGGUAGGGGACCACGGAAUUCCUGGUGUAGCGGUGAAAUGCGCAGAUAUCAGGAGGAACACCGGUGGCGAAGGCGGUGGUCUGGGCCGGCACUGACGCUGAGGAGCGAAAGCGUGGGUAGCAAACAGG